AAGAUCUUAUGUUAAUAAAACAUUUAACCUUCAAAGUUAAUAAUAUAAGUAAUAACCUUAUAGGUCUUA
rnacentral:tRNA from 1 species